rnacentral:rRNA from 1 species
GACGAACGUUGGCGGCGUGCUUAAUACAUGCAAGUCAACUGAAGCAGAGGUAGUAAUAUCUCUGUGGAGGUGGCGCACGGGUGAGUAACACGUAGGUAAUCUGCCUUCAGGUCUGACAUAACCCCGAGAAAUCGGGGCUAAUAGCAGAUGAUGCAGCGGCUUGACAUCAAGACAGUUGUUAAAGCUUCGGCGCCUGAAGAUGAGCCUGCGCUGAUUAGCUAGUUGGCGGAGUAACAGCCCACCAAGGCUACGAUCAGUAGCUGGUCUGAGAGGAUGAUCAGCCACACUGGAACUGAGACACGGUCCAGACUCCUACGGGAGCAGCAGUAAGG